GGGGGCGUAUGAAGGUAAUAUAUUUAGAUUUAUGUGAAAGGUGUUAAAAAAGUGGUGUUAGCCUAUGAUUAAAGGGGUGAAGAGGUGGAGGUAGGGUUAGAGUGACAGCUCGUCACACAGGGAGUGGUUUGUCCGCUUUUAAAAGACGUUGUCUCGACCUACCUGGCCUCUUUUCCCUGACGUUUUUAGCUAGCAUUUGUUAGCUAGCUAGCUUGUCCGUUCGUUUUUCCUUCGCCCUUCUCAACCAGACCAACGGUGUUUUGUUUUUUUCUAACUCGUUUGGUGGAGAAAAGCAAGAGGAAGACGUCUUGCAGUCAUGUCUACAAAGGCUAGUCUGCAUCAAUAGGGCCUUCUACGAAGAUUAGGAGUAAUGCUUCUUGGAACUCUGAUGAUGAUGAUUUUCAACAAGGGAGACCAGUAUUACAGAAUAUAAGUCAACUCUUAAAUCAGACCACUGGUGUAAUAAGAAAAAGAAGUCGAGCUGAACGCUCUAAGAAAGC